CGGACGGGUGAGUAACACGUGGAUAACCUACCUAUAAGACUGGGAUAACUUCGGGAAACCGGAGCUAAUACCGGAUAAUAUAUUGAACCGCAUGGUUCAAUAGUGAAAGACGGUUUUGCUGUCACCUAUAGAUGGAUCCGCGCCGCAUUAGCUAGUUGGUAAGGUAACGGCUUACCAAGGCAACGAUGCGUAGCCGACCUGAGAGGGUGAUCGGCCACACUGGAACUGAGACACGGUCCAGACUCCUACGGGAGGCAGCAGCU
rnacentral:rRNA from 1 species